rnacentral:lncRNA from 1 species
UUCUCCGUUUAACAGUCUCUCGCCGGCGGUAACUUUUUCCGGCGAUGAAACUUCUCUUCCUCAUUCCUCACCGUGAUUUCUAAACCUCCUUCUCUCUCAUCUUAUCACGUGAUCAACAGACUUUAUACUGUUUCUUGUCAAUCUUUUAUAAACCUUUUGUAAACUUUUCCGACAGAGACACAAGAUGUUGGAUCUUAACCUCGACGCUGACUCUCCCGAGUCAACUCAGUACGGUGACUCGUACGCAGAUCGGAAAACAUCAGACGGCUCCGGGAACCGGUCAGAGACGUCCACGUCGUCGGUCAUCAAUGCUGAAGCUGACGACGACUCUUGCUCGACUCGUGCUUUUACUCUAAAUUUCGAUAUUUUAAAAGUCGGAAGCAGCGGCGACGGCUGUGGCGGUGGCGGAGAUGAAAGCACCGCCGUGACUAAAGAGUUUUUCCCGGUGGCUGGAGACUGUGGGCAUCUACGAGGGUCGAGCUCUAGAAGCUGGAUAGAUCUCUCUUUCGAUGGCUCGAGGCAAGGAGAAACAAACUUAGUGGCUCCGGCGCCGGCGCCGGCUCCGGUGAAAAAGAGUCGGAGAGGACCGAGGUCAAGGAGUUCGCAGUACAGAGGAGUUACCUUCUACCGAAGAACUGGUAGAUGGGAGUCACAUAUAUGGUAAAAGCCAAUUAAAACUCCCUGACUUCUUAUUUAAAAUUUCAUUAAUUCAACUUUUUAUUUUAGUUUCUGAAACUGAUUAAAAAUUAAAAACCUUUAUUUGUACUUUGUGAAAUUCGAUUAAAAUCCAAAAACUCUGUUUUGGUUUUUAUUAUUUGCAGGGAUUGUGGGAAACAAGUCUAUUUAGGUAAAAGAUUUAAAUUUUCAUUAUUUUAGUUCUUGAUUUCAUUUUUAACAAUCUUCUUGAUUUUUCACGUAUAGGUGGUUUUGACACUGCUCAUGCCGCGGCUAGGUAAAGUUUUAGAUCAUUUUUCAGCAUUGUUUGUGUCUUUUGAUGAUUAUGAUCUUAUUUCUUUUUAUAUAUAUUUAGAGCUUAUGAUCGAGCUGCUAUCAAAUUUAGAGGAGUUGAUGCUGAUAUCAACUUCACUCUCGGCGAUUACGAGGAAGAUAUGAAACAGGUUUAGUUUUUAUAUUAUUUGUGUCAUCUAGUAAAAUCCUUUCUUUCAUGGAAAAUGUUAAUUGAGUGUUUGCCCCUCUCAACAGGUUCAAAACUUAAGCAAGGAAGAGUUUGUGCACAUACUCCGUCGACAGAGCACAGGUUUCUCUCGGGGAAGCUCCAAGUACCGAGGAGUUACAUUACACAAAUGUGGGAGAUGGGAAGCUAGGAUGGGUCAGUUUCUUGGUAAAAAGUGAGCCAACUUUUUCUCUCUUUGAUCUGAGCACUUAGAAGUAAUGUUAAAUGACUAGAAAAUGGUGUCUUAGUAAUUGAAACCAAAAGUGGUGAGAUUGUUAAAAUGUUUUGGGGAUUUUUAAGAUGGGUUGAAUUGCAGGUAUGUUUACCUUGGGCUGUUCGACAGCGAAGUAGAAGCUGCAAGGUCAUAUUAAAACAAUGAUCAUGAAUCUUUUACUUGUUUUGCCAGAGAAAAUAAAAAACUUUCUAUUCUUAAAGUUUUGUACCUCUUUAAGAAGAACUCCACUAGAGCUCUUUUUUUAACUCUUUCUGAACACUUUGUUCUUGAAAACAGGGCUUAUGAUAAGGCUGCGAUAAGCUCUAAUGGUAGGGAAGCAGUUACCAACUUCGAGCUUAGUUCAUACCAGAAUGAGACUAACUCUGAGACCAAUAACCAAGGUAACGUACAUAAUCUAGUGUAAUACUUUAAUCAUCAGUCUAUAAAACACAGCUUAUGAUUGUUGUUUUAUUUAUUUAUGAAGGUGCUCAUGACAAGCUUGAUCUCAGCUUGGGAAUGUCUCUUUCCCCCGGGAAUGCGUCAAAGCAAAACGGAAGGCUCUUUCAUUACCCUUCUAAUACUUAUGAAACUCAGCGUGGAGUUAGUUUAACGGUAAUUUCUCAACACCAAUCUCUGAAAAAAUCAUGAAAACGUUUAGUUAUUGUCUUACAACGCUUGCAGAUAGGUAAUGAGUUCAUGGGAAAGCCGGUGAACGCACCUCUUCCUUAUGGUUCAUCGGACCAUCGCGCUUACUGGAACGGUUAUAACAACCCUGUCGAGGUAAAAAAAAAUAAUAAUCUGAAAUGUAACCAGAAAAAACUAUGUAAAAACCAUACAAUGAGAUAAUGUUUGUUUGCUUGUUUCUUAUGUUUUGGUUUCCAGGGAAGGGCAACAGAGAAGAGAAGUGAAGCUGAAGGAGGAGGGAUGAUGAGUAACUGGGGAUGGCAAGGACCAGGCCAAACCAGCGCCAUGAGACCGCAACCACCAGGCCCACAACCACAGUUGUUCUCAGUUGCAGCAGCAUCAUCAGGAUUCUCUAAUUUCCGGCAACAACCUCCCAAUGACAAUGCCUCCUCUCUUGGUUACUUUUAUCCACAACCUUAACUUACAGAGGAGGCUUUAAAACUAUGAGUGUUAUGGUAACUGGAUUAUUUAUAAAAUGGGAUAUGCUUUUCUUUAUCGUCGAUGUGAAACAUGUUCUUCCGUGUACCUUGGUAAAGAGAACACGACUCUUGGAAACUGUAAGGCAAAAGUUUUGUAAAUAACAUAAAAAGUAAAAUUAUUGUCGGUAUAUUUACUUAUAUACUCAUAUCAUUAAUAUAUAAUUAACAUAACAUAUACUUAUUUCAUUGUUAACAACAUUAUUAUAAAAUGUUUUUUGUUGAAACAGUAGACCUGAACAUUAGAAUUUAAUUCUACCUAAAUAAAAAUCGAUUAGAUCUAAAUUAAAAAAAAAACAAAACCAAUUUAACUAAUUCAAACUAUUUAAAAGCUAUUAGUUAAAUUAAAUCAGAUCGGAUAGAUUAAAUUGAAUCAAUUAAAUCGAGUCGGUUUUCUAUUUGAAAUAUAUCAGUUUACUAAUAUUGAACGAACCCAUUUAUUCGAUCCACAUUUUUCGACAAAUAAAAUAAUCCAUACAUCCAAUCCACAUUUUUGAAAAUAAAAUAUGAUUAUGAGGUUAAUUACAUAAUAUAUAUCAUCAUACUAACUAUAUAGUUAUUGUAAUUGGAGACAGUAAUUUUUAAGUAUAAAUGUGUAGCCAUGAUGUUUAUUAUUGGUGCAACAGAUUUCACCAAUAAAACAAACUGAGAAUUGGGUUUUUGUCGGUACGUGAUUUGGUUAUUUGAUAUAUCUAAUAGCAAUAAUUGAAAAGAACAACAGUAAAGAGAGGGAUAGUGAUAGGAUGUGACAACUUUGGCUGCCUCUUCGGAACCCCAAAGGAUUCGUGGAGAAAACAUUAGCUUUCCAUUUGUAUACAUAUAUUCGGAUAUGACCAAAAUAUAUACUUAUAUUCUAAAAUCACGUGUCAAAUAUAGUAACUUAGCUAUCUAUAUACGAUUGAGAGUUGUCAUAAAUAACGUAGUACCUAACCAUAUACUAGUACUAGGCCUGGGACGGAUCGGAUAUCCGGGUAAUUUUAAGGUAUCCGGAUCCGGAUCCUUAUCCGGCGGAUCCAUAAUUUUAUUAUCCUUAUCCGGAUCCGGGGUUCUCGGAUAUCCGGGUGUCGGAUAUCCUUCUAAAAAUUGUAAUAUCCGGCGGAUAUCCGGAUCCGGAUUUGGAUCCUUAAAAUAAAUAAAAAAUAAUAUUAAUAUAUAUAAAAUAUUAACAAUAAUUUAAAAAUAAAAANNNNNNNNNNNNNNNNNNNNNNNNNNNNNNNNNNNNNNNNNNNNNNNNNNNNNNNNNNNNNNNNNNNNNNNNNNNNNNNNNNNNNNNNNNNNAAGAGUUUUAAUAAAUCUAUUUUAAAAAGUUGUUUGGACUCUUUCAUUUAACUCAUUAUUUUUUGGUCUUACCUUAAAUUUAGACUAACAAUAUGUUACCAUAUAUUUCUCUAACAAUAAUUUAUUUAAUUUCUUUAUUUAUUCACUACUAUUACUAUAUUUACCAUUUUGAUUUUUAAUCGUAAAAGCAUUGAAACUAAUGUUUUAUAUUAUCAUUUUUAUCAUAUAAUAUAUGAUUUAAAGCAAGAGAAGUUAUUCGACAUAUAUGUGUACAUUCUAACUUCUUCUUUCUUUUAUAAUAAAGUAAUCAUAUCAUAUAUAAAUUUUCGCACUAAAAUCUCAUAUCAUAUAGUAAACUUUCAACCGUCUAUGGUUUGAUAGAUAUUUUCAUAUCUAAAAAUGAGUUUUCUGAAUAUUCAUGUUACCUUCACAAAAAUGUAGAAAUUCAUUGGUUUUUUUUUAAGUUAACCCGACUUCACGAUAUCAGUAUUGAUUAUUCACGAUUUUGAAAAUUAUUGGUUUAGAUAUUAUAUUUUUUUAUACUUUCACUUAAAAACGAAUCAAUACUAUUAAAAGAGAAAUAGUCUUAAAAAAUCUAAUAUAAACAAGUUGUUGGAGUCACGUAUAACUAUUUUUUUUUGGUAAUACCAUUAAUCAUUCUAACCAUACAAAAUUUUAAAUAUUUUUAAUAUAUCCUAAUAUUAUUCUUUAUGAUAUCUUUACUCAGAAAAAUAUUUCAUCAACCAUGUUUAUGUACAAUAACGUUAAAAAUAUAUAUCAAAAAGUUGUUGGACCUGAUAUAAACGUAAUGGGUCCACAUAUGUUCAGGUAUUUAGGAUCUUAAAAAAAUCACAAUAUCUAAAAAACCGGAAAAAUAUUCGAAACUCCAAACAAAUACCCAAAAAAAUUCAAAUACCUAAAAAUUCAAAAUAUUAUUCAAAGUCUGAGACGAUGAACUGAAAAAUACCCAAUUUUUUUUUUAAUUUGAAAAUUUACCUGAAAUCAAAAACUAUAAUCAUAAACCAAAAACUUAAAAAAAAAUGUCCAUACUAGAGGAAACAUAUUUGAAAUAUCUAAAUAUACCUAAUAAACACAACAUAUUUAUGAUCGGAUCUAGGGUAUGAUCCAGACUCAAACAAAGACAUGCGGGUCAAAAAAAAUCCAAUAUGUUAUCUUCUCUAGACCUGAACUAAACCUAUAUUUUCGGGUCGGUUCAGUUUGUUUUUUUAUCCGGAUAUAAUUAUAAUGCCUAAAAUAAACUUACGUAAAAGUGUAUAUAUAAAAUCUCAAUUAAACUAAUUCAUAGAUUAUAUAACUGUUAAAAAUUAUAUUUUUUGAUAUAAUAAAACUUUGUAUUAUAAUAUAAUCCAAAAAACCCGCACUUGAAAAUCUAGUUUACUAUUAAAAUAUAAUUGUAUGCUUUAAAAUUGUAAACACUAGUUAUUAUUAUGUUAAUGAUCGAAAUUCCGUUGAAAAUUUUAGAGCCAGAAAUGCCUAACCCUAGUUAUUAUAUCCUUACUUAAAAUGGACGGCAGUGUCUCUCACAAACAAAUAAAAAAGUACUGUACUUAGAGCCAGAAGCCAGGUCACAAACCAAAGCAUUGACCCAAAAGCAGUGCGUACCGGAUUUAGUUGUAAUAAUAAAACGAAUAUAAAGACCGGAAACCUGUUAAACCGGUGCACCACUGCCAAAAAAGGACCAACAACAAUUAACGUUAUACACACUACCGAUAUAACAUAUACUUACAAUUUAUUUAAUUAUAAAUAUUGAUCUUCCUCUUAAAAUGUGUCUGAAAUGUUCCCUCACACGUCUCCCUCCUCUCACUCUCUCUCUCUCUUUCUCUCUCUAUCUUCUCCGUUUAACAGUCUCUCGCCGGCGGUAACUUUUUCCGGCGAUGAAACUUCUCUUCCUCAUUCCUCACCGUGAUUUCUAAACCUCCUUCUCUCUCAUCUUAUCACGUGAUCAACAGACUUUAUACUGUUUCUUGUCAAUCUUUUAUAAACCUUUUGUAAACUUUUCCGACAGAGACACAAGAUGUUGGAUCUUAACCUCGACGCUGACUCUCCCGAGUCAACUCAGUACGGUGACUCGUACGCAGAUCGGAAAACAUCAGACGGCUCCGGGAACCGGUCAGAGACGUCCACGUCGUCGGUCAUCAAUGCUGAAGCUGACGACGACUCUUGCUCGACUCGU